AGCAGCCGCGGUAAUUCCAGCUCCAAUAGCGUAUAUUAAAGUUGUUGCAGUUAAAAAGCUCGUAGUUGAAUUUCGGGGUUAGUAGGCUGGUCGUGCCACAGGUAUGCACUGGUCUUACUGAUUCCUCCUUCCUGAUGAACCGUAAUGCCAUUAAUUUGGUGUUGCGGGGAGUCUGGACUGUUACUUUGAAAAAAUUAGAGUGUUUAAAGCAGGCUAACGCUUGAAUACAUUAGCAUGGAAUAACGAAAUAGGACGUUCGAUCCUAUUUUGUUGGUUUCUAGGAUUGACGUAAUGAUUAAUAGGGAUAGUUGGGGGCAUUAGUAUUCAAUUGUCAGAGGUGAAAUUCUUGGAUUUAUUGAAGACUAACUACUGCGAAAGCAUUUGCCAAGGAUGUUUUCAUUAAUCAAGAACGAAAGUUAGGGGAUCGAAGACGAUCAGAUACCGUCGUAGUCUUAACCAUAAACUAUGCCGACUAGGGAUCGGAUGAUGUUAAUUUUUAAUGACUCAUUCGGCGCCUUAA
rnacentral:rRNA from 1 species